AAAGAUAUCUGGUUGAUCCUGCCUGAACUGAUGUGUUCAUUUCAAAGAUUAAGCCAUGCAUGUAUAAGUUUAAUCGUUUUAACGAGAAACCGCGAACGGCUCAUUACAAUGGCCAUGAUUUACUUGAUCUUGAUUAUCUAAAUGGAUAACUGUGGAAAAGCUAGAGCUAAUACAUGCACCAAAGCUUUGUCCUCACGGAAAAGCGCAUUUAUUAGAACAAAACCACGCGGCUUCGGCUGCUUCUUGUUGACUCAGAAUAACUAAGCUGACCGCAUGGCCUUGUGCCGGCGGCGUGUCUUUCAAGCGUCCACUUUAUCAACUUGACGGGAGCAUAAUCGACUCCCGUGGUGGUGACGGAUAACGGAGGAUCAGGGUUCGACUCCGGAGAAGGGGCCUGAGAAAUGGCCACUACGUCUAAGGAUGGCAGCAGGCGCGCAAAUUACCCACUCUCGGCUCGAGGAGGUAGUGACGAGAAAUAACGAGACUGUUCUCUUUGAGGCCGGUCAUCGGAAUGGGUACAAUUUAAACCCUUUAACGAGUAUCAAGCAGAGGGCAAGUCUGGUGCCAGCAGCCGCGGUAAUUCCAGCUCUGCUAAUACAUAGAAUUAUUGCUGCGGUUAAAAAGCUCGUAGUUGGAUUCGUAUCGGUACCUUGGAACCCUUCGGGUGUUUCUGGGUGUUAUCGAUUUAUCGUAAUGUUCGGUUUUGAGUCCUUAACAGGAUUCUUAACAGUCAUUGCAAGUUUACUUUGAACAAAUCAGAGUGCUUCAAACAGGCGUUUUCGCUUGAAUGAUCGUGCAUGGAAUAAUAGAAAACGAUUUCGGUUCAGUUUUAUUGGUUUUACGGACUGAGAUAAUGGUUAACAGAGACAAACGGGGGCAUUUGUAUGGCCCCGUGAGAGGUGAAAUUCUUGGACCGUGGCCAGACAAACUACAGCGAAAGCAUUUGCCAAGAAUGUCUUCAUUAAUCAAGAACGAAAGUCAGAGGUUCGAAGGCGAUCAGAUACCGCCCUAGUUCUGACCGUAAACGAUGCCAACUAGCGAUCCGCUGAUGGAAAUUAUAUUGCCUUGGUGGGGAGCUUCCCGGAAACGAAAGUCUUCCGGUUCCGGGGGAAGUAUGGUUGCAAAGCUGAAACUUAAAGGAAUUGACGGAAGGGCACCACCAGGAGUGGAGCCUGCGGCUUAAUUUGACUCAACACGGGGAAACUCACCCGGCCCGGACACUGUGAGGAUUGACAGAUUGAUAGCUUUUUCAUGAUUCAGUGGAUGGUGGUGCAUGGCCGUUCUUAGUUCGUGGAGUGAUUUGUCUGGUUUAUUCCGAUAACGAGCGAGACUCUAACCUACUAAAUAGCUGAUACAUACUCUUUGUGUAUACAGCUUCUUAGAGGGAUUUGCGGCGUUCAGCCGAAAGAAAUUGAGCAAUAACAGGUCUGUGAUGCCCUUAGAUGUCCGGGGCUGCACGCGCGCUACACUGGCAAAAUCAACGUGCUUGUCCUACCCUGAAAGGGGCGGGUAAACCAUUGAAAAUUUGCCGUGAUUGGGAUCGGAAAUUGCAAUUAUUUUCCGUGAACGAGGAAUUCCAAGUAAGUGCGAGUCAUCAGCUCGCGUUGAUUACGUCCCUGCCCUUUGUACACACCGCCCGUCGCUGCCCGGGACUGAGCCAUUUCGAGAAAUUUGGGGACCGUUGAUUUAAUUUAUCUAAAUUAUUUUGAUGGAAACCAAUUUAAUCGCAGUGGCUUGAACCGGGCAAAAGUCGUAACAAGGUAGCUGUAGGUGAACCUGCUGCUGGAUCAUUACUUUA